UUGUGUACAGAGCUAUAAUGUGUUUGAUUUUCUGAGGGACAUCGUCAGCAGGGUUCCUGACUAUGGUCAUGGUCAUUCUGAUGCAGCUGGCGAGGAUCGAGCCAUUUCAAAACGAAGGAAACCACCAGGUGAUGAAUGCAUUGACAGUGAUGAAGAGUUGAAGAGGAGCAAGAUGCUUGAGGUUAACCAUGGCAGCAGUAGCGGCAGAGGAAGAGGUCGGGGUCGAGGACGAGGCCGUGGACGUGGGCGGGCCAGUGAAAGAGAGACCCUACACCAUGAGACUGAAUCUGAACCCUGCACAUCUCUUCAGCACACCACCAAACCUAAUCCAAACCCCGGAAUGGUGGUGGAUGA